GGCUCCAUAGUGUAGUGGUUAGCACAUUUGUUUUACAUGCAGAAGAUCCUGGGCUCAUACCCCAGCUGGAGCCA
rfam:Pteropus alecto contig59617, whole genome shotgun sequence.